rnacentral:rRNA from 1 species
UACGAAGGGGGCUAGCGUUGCUCGGAAUCACUGGGCGUAAAGCGCACGUAGGCGGAUUGCUAAGUCAGGGGUGAAAUCCUGGAGCUCAACUCCAGAACUGCCUUUGAUACGUGCGGACUUGAGUGCGGAAGAGGGUCGUGGAAUUCCCAGUGUAGAGGUGAAAUUCGUAGAUAUUGGGAAGAACACCGGUGGCGAAGGCGACUUCCUGGCCUGUUCUUGACGCUGAGGCGCGAAAGCUAGGGGAGCAAACGGG